GGAAAAUAUAUUUCCCUCAACCAUGUUUUGAAGAGAUCUGUAAAUUUUGCCUUUUUGAAUUACUAUAUUUAUAAGUAUGUGAAACAUAAUUUUACCUGAAUUCAUUUUUCCAUCGUUCUUGUAAAAUUAAGAAUAAAGGUGACAAUAACUCUCCUCAGCUGAUAUCGUUGGUUGUACUGCAUAGCUGUGUGUAGUUAACAAGAGAGAUUGUACAAGACACUGUACUUGCGUUUCUCUUUGCAGUGCUAAAGUACGACCAGAACGCAUUUCUAAUUAAAAACCACUCUGAUCUGAAUUAAAGAAACGAUUCAAUGGGCUUCUUUAAGUAUUGCAACCCAACCUUUAGAAGAUCUAAAUCGCAUAUCCUUGUACCCAACCAAUUUUUGUGCUUGUAAAGCCCACCUUCUCAAGUCAUCAUCAUGAAUUAUAAAUCCAGAUUGAAGAGCCGCGUUAAAGUUUUCCAAGAUGUGACUUUACGAAACAGAUUUUGUACUGUUUUAAGAGACAAAUUUCGCUUUUCUUUUCCGCUCCUCCAAAACUCUACAACUUAUUUCUUGUAUUCAAAAUUCAAUGGCUCACUUUGGCUCUUGCGAUCGUCUGUCGGAAAUUCGGGAUCAACAAGAACUGAAAAUUGGCCGAACUUUUAAGCUCAUGGUGAAACCUCAAAAAUGGCAAACUUCAAUUGAUGAUAUCUUGAUGAAAAAAAAUGAUAUCUUAAAUUUGAAAAAUGGGUUUUGAAGGGGGACGAUUACUCAAAAACCUGACGUGAUGAAGCAAUUCUGACGACGGAUUCUAAUUCUACGCCAAAAAUUACUUCGGAAAUGACCGUAAGUUGUAAAAGAACAGUGACGACUCUCUAUUUUGCAGGCCUGUGUAAUUAGUUGGUGAAGAAUAUCAUAUUUACGCAUGUACUCCAUAAAUAAUUUAACUAGAAAAUAACUUGAAGAGACAAUAUCAAAAAUAAAUUUACAUUAUAAAUAAAUCAAGAAAAAAGUAUUAUUCACACAGAGAAAAACAAAAAUUUUUUGAGAAAAAGAUUGUUCGAAAUCAAAGAUGAAUACGAAAGUUAUUUUCAAUACGAACAUGUAGAAUGCCUGAUUCAGUUCAUUUAUUUCUACACAUAUUCCAAUUCAAAAUCCAUAUAUAGCA